AUGGAGGCACCUAUCUGCCAACCUGCUCCCUUAUCUAGAGAGGUUUGUUGCCUGCCAGGGGCUCAAAUACAAGAUGUCAUACAAAGACUGCCAAGGCUUGUCCACGCUUCGGACURUUACCCACUGCUGCUCUUCCAUGUGGGCACUGAUGACACCAAGGGCAAACUAGAGACCAUUAAACAGGAUUUCAGAGCUCUGGGGAUGGUGGUCAAGGGUCCAGGAGCCCAGGUCAUCUUCUCCCCAGUCCUGCUAGUGAGGGGGAUGGAUGAGAGGAGGAGGAGACAGACUUUCCAAGUUAACAACUGGCUGCGCUGCUGGUGUUGGCAACAGGGUUUUGGUUUCUACAACCAUGGGACCCUGUUUGAAGAUCGGCAACUGCUUGGGAGAGAUGGGAUCCACCCCACUAAGCAGGGCAUGCGUGUCUGCCRACAGGUUAGCCCUCCUUACCAGGUUGGCCUUAAACUAGGAAAGACCGGGGAAGGGGAGAGUUAUAGAGACAGGGUAGUUGGCAAAACACGGCUCAAGUCGGGAUGCCUCCAGCGGGUGCAUGCAGCCAGGGAAGUGCUCAUGGGAUGUGGCUAUGGAGGAUCCUCUUGUAUCCCUCCUGGGAAACCUGCAUGCUCAAUCACCUCUCUGAAAUGCCUGUACACCAAUGCACGCAGCAUGGGGAUUAAACAGGAAGAAUUAGAGAUCUGCGUGUGGUUGCAGGGCCAUGAUCUCAUUGCAAUUACAGAGACCUGGUGGGAUAGCUCACAUGACUGGAAUGCUGUCAUGGAUGGCUACGUGCUUUUUAGGAAAGACAGGCCAGGAAGGCGAGGUGGUGGAGUUGCUGUUUAUGUGAGAGAGCAACUGGAAUGUACUGAGCUCUGCCUAGGGGUGGAUGAAGAGCGAGUCGAGAGCUUAUGGGUAAGGAUUAAAGGGCAGGCUAUCAUGGGUGACACUGUUGUGGGUGUUUACUACAGGCCACCUGAUCAGGAAGAGGAGGUCAAUGAGGCCUUCUACAGACAGCUGGAAGUAGCCUCAAGAUCCCAGGCCCUGGUUCUCAUGGGGGACUUCAACCACCCCGAUAUCUGCUGGAAAGACAACACAGCUAGGCACAGUCCCGGAGGUUCCUGCAGAGCAUUGAUGAUAACUUCUUGA
rnacentral:lncRNA from 1 species